rnacentral:lncRNA from 1 species
AUGAUCCCAGACAGGGGGUGGGGGGGUGAGGAAAGNNNNNNNNNNNNNNNNNNNNNNNNNNNNNNNNNNNNNNNNNNNNNGGGGAGGGGAGGGGAGGGGAGGGGAGAGAGCACACUUUUCUUCAGAAUUUCACAGGGCUACAGUUUACAUAUUCUUGAGGAUUCCUUUUGUCCAGUUCCAGGAAAGUCCAGCAGUCAUUCUUACUGCUUGCUCCAGCAUGAAGUAGGGAAAGGGGCUGAUUGCAGCCUUCCAGGAGGAGCCAGAAGGUCCUCUCCUCAUUCUCCUUCAACACCUGGCAUUGUGCCCCCCUCCACAAACAUUUCUCUAGGAAUGUCUUAAAACCACUCUGCUUUCAAACCUGGCCUGGGUGAGUAUGGCCAUUAUACUCCUAAUUCACCUGGGUUUAUGACAGAGUUGAUAUUACUUGUCAGCACCAUGCUGUGACAGCUGUGAAGGUUAAUAUGUUCUUCAGUCACUGCUGAAAACUGAGAUUUUGGUUUUACUAGUGGUGGCUACUACUCACCUCAGCUCUACACGAAUGGAAUUGAUAUCUUCCUGUUCUGUAGAAUGUGCAAAAUCAAGUACUUUGUGUAGUUUGUAUGGGCAUGACACCUAAAAUAUAUUUGUUGAAAGAGAAUCCCUGUAAAGCAACCUCACAGUCCCCAUCCUCAGGCUAGACCUGGAAGGACUUUGCAAUCUACCAAAUAUGCUAAUUUGUUAAUAUGUUUGUAUGUGAUGAAGAUCCAUUCUAAAGUAUUGCUGGCUUAAAAAAAUUGAAAUCUAAACAUUGUUAACUAAUCACAGAAAUGCAUGCUAAAGAGGCUACUGAUUUCAAAGAGAAACAUUAAUGCUUAAAGUAGACUAUAAUAGUAUGUGGUUAGAAAGAACAGCUGAGGUUUGAUUCCCUUAAUUUCUUUGAACUAAAGGAUGAAAAGGAUAUAAUUCUGAAGUUCUGACUCUUGUAAAAUGCUUCAUAAUGCUUCUGAGGCCAUAAGCUGUAGCUGUGAUCACACUGAAAUACUUGUGUACCAGUCACCAAGGUAAGAAGGACAACAGUGUUCAAAGAAAGACCACGACUGAUACAAAAAAAAUGUGAACUCUAUAAAUUCUAGUGAGGAGAUUUAUUUAAAAAAAAAAUGGCAUCAAUCCCCAUACUUGGAAGUAAAAGGCCACUUCUAAUUAGAAAGUUUAGGAUGAAAUUCCUGCGAUGGUAGGGAAUCACACUUCUGAGGCAUCUGAUAACAGAUAAUGUUAGAGACAGAGAUGAUAAAUUAACUGUAUCUCAGAGCAGACUGAGGAUAGAUAUCCUUUGUUCCCAGUUUCAAAACAAAGGAGAUGUCCACCAGCAGAAAGCAUGGAAGAUUUAUUGUAUGAGAUCAAGGGCUUACUUUGCCUGGUGCUGCUUCAGCCAGAGGCCAACAGGAAAGUCUUUAAGAAAGGAAGGAUGCAGCCUUUUUCUUGUAAGUGCUAGGAUGUUCAGAGGGAAAUAGUCACCCUUGCUAGGCAUAGGCAUCUAAUUUACACUUCCAAGUUUGGAGGAAUUCUCCCCAUGAUUCUGGAGCCCCAAGAGAGGCCUCCUCUGCUCAUGGGUACCAGGUUGUACCUAAGUACAGCAGUGUUCUUACCAUGAGAUCAUAGAAUCACAGAAACAUUUGCAUUGGAAGGACCCUUAACAGUCACCUCGUCCAACUCCCCUGCAGUGAACAGGGACACCUGCAGCUAGAUCAGGUUGGUCAGAGACCCAUCCAGCCUGACCUUGAAUGUCUUGAAGGCGUGGGGCAUCCACCAACUCUCUGGGCAAUGUUUACCUCACACUCAAAGUUUUGAUAUACUCCCUUAGGGAUAUUUAUAUGACAACACCCUGACUCUGACAUGAAACCCCUGGGCACCAUCAUACACAGAAAAUACCAUGGAUCUCUGCUAAAACCAAGGGUUACAAGAUCACAGGUUUUACAGCUGAAUCCAUACGUACAGCCACUGUGCUCCAGUGUUUGAAAGAAGUAACAUAAAAAAAUGACAUGCUGCCAAGCUAAUUUUUUUUGACACUAUGAAGAGCAUUCAAACUGGUGGCACAUGUUAGCAGAAAGCUUUCUUCUUAACAGGAAAGUUUGAGCAGAAAUACCUAGUGCUGAGCACAUUUUGAUGUCUAAGUUAGUGUGGUUAAGAGCUUCUGAUCUAUUAGAAAGAAUAAGCACUUUAGCAGUGCUAGAGAAAGCCAUAAAGUAAGCUUCUUCUCAUCACACUGUCACUAUAUUUGAACGGUAUUAUCCCUAUGUGGGAAAAGUUGAUGGUAAAAGCAUUCAGAUUUUGGCCAAAUAAUUAAAUGGAAAUUAUGAAUUAUAUUCAUGCUACUCAGAUAUGUCUACCCUUUUCUUAAAGCAGAAAAAGGAUUCCAAGUUUCUAAUUUUUAGAUCAUUAAUUUGAAGUCCUGUCCCAAGAUGCUGUAGUACUUACAAUUGUUAUUUUAUAAGGAUAAUCACUGAGAUUUUGCUGGUUACUUAGUCUUGGAAAUCGCUUCAAAACUUGAUGACAUGUACUUUGUUUUUAUUUUAUUUUUAUUGAAUUACGAAGAUUUGCCAAUGCCGACAUUUUGCAGAGGUGUCACAGGUUCACUACAGUUUUCAAGAGCAUCCAAAUCUCAUUUUAAUUGUAGAAGAAAAAGGAAUUGAGAAAACAGAUCUUUUCCAUUUAAAAAGGGGCGUUUCAGUAUGCUUCCUUUCCAAGAUGCCUGGAUAGCCUCUUUUUAAAUUCUACCCCAGAAUGAAAACAAAUUUUGAAACUGCAGCAUUUUGUUAUGUACUGGAACUGCCGCCCACUGGCCAACUCCGCUUUUUUAUUGAAUCCUCGUGUUCCAUCUAAUGAACACUUUGUACUGUGUGUUCCCAAGUCUGAGAUGACAGAAAAUCUGACAACUAUUAUGAAUACAUAUAUAUUUCUUUAUUGGCUGUUUUCUAUGGGGUUCAUAGGUGGGAGAAAUCCUUCUGUGAACUGGAUUUAAAAACUACAGAUUUGAAUUAAUUAAAAAAAGAAAAAGAAACACAGAAUACCAGAAGAAAAUUGAAAAGGAAAAUAUUUCAGCAAUCAUACUGUUUAAUUGCCAUUUGAUUGAUGCACUGUUCCUUAUAUUUUUGUAUAAAGGUAUAAAAACACAUAUAUAGACGAUAUGACUAUACAUAUUAUGGAAGUUUUUAAAACUUCUUUACUUCCCCCAGGACCCCUAAAAAAUCUAUUUUAAAGUCUAAAUUUAAAUAGGACUUCUUGUAGCACACAUAUAAGCUGCACAUACAAAUUGCCAGAAUGUAUCUCACCACUUAGGGUUUUGGUUUACAGCUCUGUUGUUUGGGGAUAGUUUAAUAAACAAGGAUUGGGAAAUCCUAAUUACGUCUGU